CAGUAGCCGCGGUAAUACGAAGGGUGCAAGCGUUAAUCGGAAUUACUGGGCGUAAAGCGUGCGUAGGCGGUGAGUUAAGUCUGCUGUGAAAUCCCCGGGCUCAACCUGGGAAUGGCAGUGGAUACUGGCUCGCUAGAGUGUGUCAGAGGAUGGUGGAAUUCCCGGUGUAGCGGUGAAAUGCGUAGAGAUCGGGAGGAACAUCAGUGGCGAAGGCGGCUGACUGGUCCACAACUGACGCUGAGGUGCGAAAGCGUGGGGAGCAAACAGGAUUAGAUACCCCUGUAGUCCCUGUCUCUUAUAC
rnacentral:rRNA from 1 species